rnacentral:rRNA from 1 species
ACGCUCGACACCUACGGGAAGCAGCAGUGGGGAAUAUUGCACAAUGGGGGAAACCCUGAUGCAGCGACGCCGCGUGAGCGAAGAAGUAUCUCGGUAUGUAAAGCUCUAUCAGCAGGGAAGAAGAUGACGGUACCUGACUAAGAAGCACCGGCUAAAUACGUGCCAGCAGCCGCGGUAAUCUGAGCGGGCUGGCAAGGC